rnacentral:rRNA from 1 species
CAACCUGAGAGUUUGAUCCUGGCUCAGAACGAACGCUGGCGGCAUGCUUAACACAUGCAAGUCGAACGAGAAGCUACCUUCGGGUAGUGGAAAGUGGCGCACGGGUGAGUAACGCGUGGGAACCUACCCUGAGGUUCGGAAUAACGGCUGGAAACGGCCGCUAAUACCGGAUACGCCCUGAGGGGGAAAGAUUUAUUGCCUUGGGAGGGGCCCGCGUCCGAUUAGCUUGUUGGUGUGGUAAUGGCGCACCAAGGCUGCGAUCGGUAGCUGGUCUGAGAGGAUGAUCAGCCACACUG